GUUCCCGUCUCGUUAAUCGAUAUCUCGAUCUCAUCCUUCUUGAAGCCUGCAAUCAAGAUUCCACCACCAUUAAGAAAACCAGAGAGCAACUUUCUUUAAAGCGCUUUAGAAUUCGUAAUACCUGGAAGGUGCGCGAGAAGGACGAAGACGGUCUCUGUCUCGGUGGACGAGAAGGAUGACUCUAUCAAGCUUUGGACCCUCGAUCGCCCCUCCAAUGUCUGCACCUUCCGUGAGCGCUCCAAUUGUCUACAUUGCCUUCCGGAGCCCUCACUAGCCGGCAUCUUUCCCUCCAUCUCCGGCAACUACAUAGCCCAUGUUUGAGAUGUCCACAACCCUUGAUCCACUGUCAUCCUCCCCUCCCACAACCGCAAGAUCUUCUCCUGCAACUGGAAUAAGUAUGACAAGAGCGCCCUCACCAUUGCCUCCAUUGUCAUGCCCGUUUAUGUUAAGGAUGGAGAUGGACACUGAGAAACUAAGAGAGAGAGAGAGAGAGAGAGAGAGAGAGAGAGAGAGAAAAGAGUAGGGCUAGCUUUUUGCGAGCCCUAGCCCACCUCAAAAUUUUUUUUUCUCAAAAAAAUAAAGAAAGUCCAUCUCGGACAACUAUUCCACAUCACUUGCUAUUAGGGGUGAAAGUGGAUUGGAUAAUAUUCGUCCAGAUCCGUUUUUGUAUCCGAAUCUAUUCGGAUAUAAAUAAAAAUUUGAGCAUCCAA